GGGGGCAUAGCUCAGUGGCGGGGCGCGUGCUUAGCAUGCACGAGGCCCUGGGUUCGAUCCCCAGUACCUCCA
rnacentral:tRNA from 1 species